rnacentral:rRNA from 1 species
UGAGUAACCUGCCCUUAACUCUGGGAUAAGCCUGGGAAACUGGGUCUAGUACCGGAUAUGACUCCUCAUCGCAUGGGUGGGGGGUGGAAAGCUUUAUUGUUGGUUUUGGAUGGACUCGCGGCCUAUCAGCUUGUUGGUGAGGUAAUGGCUCACCAAGGCGACGACGGGUAGCCGGCCUGAGAGGGUGACCGGCCACACUGGGACUGAGACACGGCCCAGACCUCCGUACGGGAGCAG